rnacentral:rRNA from 1 species
GCUACUACGCCACAUGGGGGAUGGCUUGGCUCGGGCGCCGAUGAAGGUCGUGCCAAGCUGCGAUAUGCUCGGGGUAGGCGCAUGGAGCCUUUAAUCCCGGGAUCGCCGAAUGGGACCUCCUGACCCUUCGGGGUCAGUCCCUUAUGGGACAGGGAACGCCGGGAAUUGAAACAUCUUAGUACCGGCAGGAAAAGAAAUCAAUAGAGAUUCCGUGAGUAGGGGCGACCGAAAGCGGAAGAGGGCAAACCGAAUCCCCCGGGGAAACUCGGGGGAGAUGUGGAGUUGCAGGUCCCGUUAACCGCCUCCUCGUCCUACCUGAAGUCGGCUUGGAACGCCGCCCCAGAGAGGGUGAAAGGCCCGUAGGGGAAAGGAUGAGAGGCGGAUUUCGGGUUAACCUGAGUAGGGUACGUUGGAUAUCGUACCUGAAGCCGGGUGACAUAAACAUCCAACCCUAAAUACGUCCCGAGACCGAUAGCGCACUAGUAGCGUGAGUGAAAGCUGAAAAGUGCCCUUGACGGGAGGUGAAAAGAGCCUGAAACCAUGUGGCUACAGACUGAUACGGCGUGAAAGGGGAAGCACCCGAGAGGGUGUGGACCAGCGUCGUAUCGUGCGUUUCGAAUAACGCGCCAGGGAGUUCCGUCCAAUGGCGAGGCUAAGGGGGGAAACCCCGGAGCCGAAGGGAAACCGAACGUCCGCAGCCCCGUAAGGGGUCAGGGACGGGGUGCGCUCGCCCUUGAGUCAUUGGAGGGAGACCCGAAGCCCGUCGAUCUAUGCGUGGGUAGGUUGAAGCCUGGCGAAAGCCGGGUGGAGGACCGAACCGGUGCUGACGUGCAAAUCGUUCGGAUGACCUGCGCAUAGGGGUGAAAGGCCAAUCUAGGCGGGCAAUAGCUGGUUCCCCCCGAGACUACCCGCAGGUAGACCUCAGGGGAGGUAGUCCAUGUCGUAGAGCACCGAUUGGGUGUUUAGGGGGAGAAAUCCCUCGGCAUCCUAUCGAACUCCGAAGGCAUGGACGCCGUAGAUCCUGGGAGUUAGGGCGUCGGGAUAAGCUUGACGUCCGAAAGGGGAACAACCCAGCCCGGUGUUAAGGUCCCCAAGUGCUGGCUAAGUGUCAAAGAACAAAAGGCGUCCGUGGCCUAAGACAGCUGGGAGGUAGGCUUAGAAGCAGCCAUCCUUUAAAGAGUGCGUAACAGCUCACCAGCCGAGGUCAUGGGCACUGAAAAUGGACGGGGCUCAAGCCGGCCACCGAGACACCGGAGGGCCUACGGGCCGCUGGUAGGGGGGUGUCGGGCGCGGGUCGAAGCAGGGCCGUGAGGUCCUGUGGACCGCGUUCGAAUAAGGAUCCUGGCGAAAGUAGUAGCAGAGAACGGUGAGAAUCCGUUCCGCCGAAGGGGCCAGGGUUCCUCGACAAUGAUCAUCAGUCGAGGGUUAGUCGGUCCUAAGGCAGACCUUAAUCGGGUAUGCCGAAAGGGAAGCAGGUUAAUAUUCCUGCACCACAGUCCGUAUAUGCCCUGUAGGGUUCGCAUCGGGGUAGGCCGAGCAGGGGCGCCAACCUGUCCAAGCGUAUAAGCCCCCGGAGUGCUGUAAUGGCGAGAAGGGGGUGAAAGCGUGAUGGGGCUGCCGUAAGGCGGCUUCGGCUGAUCCCUGGUGCCCGUGAAAGCCCUUCAGGGUUCUCGGGCUGUGUCCGUACCGAGAACUGACACAGGUGCCCCUAGGUGAGAAGCCUAAGGCGUGCUGGGCAUAACCCGGGCGAGGGAACUCGGCAAAUUAGCCCCGUACCUUCGGUAGAAGGGGUGCCUGCCCUGCGAGGGGCAGGUCGCAGUGACAAGGGGGCUCCGACUGUUUAAUAAAAACAUAGGUGGCAGCAAGUCCGAAAGGAUGUGUAUUGCCGCUGAAUCCUGCCCAGUGCCGGUACCUGAAAGCCGGGUUCAACCGGAAGAAGGGCCGGUAAACGGCGGGGGUAACUAUGACCCUCUUAAGGUAGCGUAAUACCUUGCCGCUUAAUUGGCGGCUUGCACGAAUGGCCCAACGAGGGCCCCACUGUCCCCGCCCGGGACCCAACGAAAUCGACUUACUGGCGCACAGUCCAGUACCCCCCAGAAGGAAGCGAAGACCCCGUGGAGCUUUACUGCAGCCUGUCGCUGUUGUACGGGGCGGGAUGUGCAGCGUAGGUGGGAGCCGUCGAAGCCCGGGCGCUAGCUCGGGUGGAGGCGCCAAUGAGACACCACCCUUCUCGCUUCGUGCAACUUACCCCGAAAGGGGGACACCGAUAGGUGGGCAGUUUGGGUGGGGCGCCACGCCCUCGAAAAGAUAACAAGGGCGCCCAAAGGUCGGCUCAGGCAGGUCAGAAAUCUGCCGUUGAGUGUAAGGGCAAAAGCCGGCUUGACGUGAUUCCGCACAAUGAGGAAUCACGAUGCGAAAGCAGGGCCUAACGAACCAACCAGCCUCAUUUAUGGGGGCGGUUGAUAACAGAAAAGUUACCCCGGGGAUAACUGAGUUGUCUCCGGCAAGAGUUCAUAUCGACCCGGAGGCUUGCUACUUCGAUGUCGGCUCUUCCUAUCCUGGUGGUGCAGCAGCUGCCAAGGGUGGGGUUGUUCGCCCAUUAAAAGGGAUCGUGAGCUGGGUUUACACCGUCGCGAGACAGGUGUGUUGCUAUCUUCUGGGGGUGCGUUGGCCCCUGAGGGGAAGGGCCCUUUAGUACGAGAGGAACAAGGGCUCGCGGCCUCUAGUCUACCAGUUGUCCGGCAGGGCAACGCUGGGCAGCCACGCCGUAGGGGAUAAGAGCUGAAAGCAUCUAAGCUCGAAGCCCCCCCCGAAAAGAGGGGCCUUAGGGCUCCCGUAAAAGACGGGUUUGAUAGAGCCGGGGUGUAAGCACC